rnacentral:lncRNA from 1 species
CUGGACCGGCAGAAUGGUGUAGUGAAUCACCCAGCACUACAGAGGUGCCUUUGUCUGCAUGGGGGAAAUUCACGCUAAGUGGCUCACCCAGUAAGAACUCAUCCAAAGUGGAGACCCUGCUUUACAGCCCAUCACCAUAUGCAGCCACUCCUCAGAAGCACCAUGUCCCAGCAAACUGAGAGGUGCUGGGGGAAGCUGGGGACAGUUUUCUCCAUGAAUGAAGAGGUACAUCCAGCUCUGCUUGUUCACCUUGUUCACCAAUACAUCUGCACCAGCAACCUCUCCUGUCAGGAGGUGGAGGUGGCCAGCUCAGCAGCAGACCUGGGAUAGACCCUGUCUAUCCCCAGAAUGGGCUCCAGUGCAGCAGUAACAGACUACAGGAACAGCCUCUGGGAACUGGAUCCCCAUCUACUGGGUGCCCUGAGCCAAGACAGAGAGGCUGUGAUCAUGGCCAGCUGUAGAAUGGAACCAAAGGCACAGGAGACUAGAUCAUCCAAAAAGUGUUUAUGUGAAGGGGAAGAUGGGUACAGGAGGGAAUGAUAGAUGUGGUUAAAAAAAAAGAGUAAAGAAAAAGAAAGGCACAGUGUGUGUGUGUGUGUCGGUGUGUCUGUGUGUCUGUCGUCUGUCUGUUCUGUGUGUGUCUAGUGUAUGUGUGUGUCUGUGUCUCUGUGUCUCUGUGUGUCUGUGUGUAUAUAUCUGUAUGUCUGAGUGUGUGUGUGUGUCUGUCUCUGUGUGUCUGUGUGUUUGUGUAUGUGUCUCUGUGUCUGUGCCUCUGUGUGUGUGUGUGUCUAUGUGUAUGUCUCUGUAUGUGUGUGUGUGUCUGUGUCUCUGUGUGUCUGUGUCUCUGUGUGUCUCUGUCUGUGUGUAUAUAUCUGUAUGUCUAUGUGUGUGUGUGUCUGUGUCUCUGUGUGUCUGUGUCUGUGUGUCUGUGUGUUUGUGUAUGUGUCUCUGUGUCUGUGCCUCUGUGUGUGUGUGUGUCUAUGUGUAUGUCUCUGUAUGUGUGUCUCUGUGUGUGUGUCUGUGUGUAUAUAUCUGUAUGUCUGUGUGUGUGUGUGUG